GUUACACACACACAAUGAGUAUCUUAAACAUCCUCAACAUUGGCAGCCUCACCACAGGCGGUGCUGGAGACACUGUGCAGAUUGAACAGUUCUCAAAGGCAAUACAGAUGGGUGAUAACACAUCAGAGGAGCCAGCAAGAGAUAGAGCCAACUCGGUGGACACUAACAGUAAUACAAGCAGCACUCAUGAAGAUGCUGACUUAGUGAUGCAAGCACAACCUUUCAGUGCUCAUGCAAGAAAACUAAAACGGAGUUUCUUUUGUGUCAUUUUGUAAAGUUUCCUCUUCAUGGAGAUCCAGUGAUUUCCAGGACAGUCCAUGGAUUUCCUGUACCACAUCAUUACCAACACCUGUCUCUCUACAAUAUGACGUUGCAGCUUGUGUUCUGUCCAUGUUGUGGAUGCCUUUGCCUUGACUUCUUCCUGACUCUGUUUCAACAGUGGUGGAAGGUCUGAGAGGGUAAAUAUUCCCUCUUCUGUGAGGCCCUUGGAAUGCAUAACUGUUCAGUUCAUUACCAUCUCUGUCACUCUGACAGACCAAUUAACAAUGACAGGGUCCAGUCUGUUUAACUUCUUGUGUUGUCAUGGCAGCCAGUGUAUAUUAACAGAUAUCAUCAUGUUCAUAAGGUCGACAUCACUUGGCUCAAGUUGUAGUAUUGGGGCAAAUAUAUCCUUGACAGCAUCACUUAGGUAUCUGUCCUCAAAGGCAGCAAUAUAAAAAUAUAUAUAGAAAUAUGUAUAUCAAGUGAGGAAAAGAAAUAAUUCAGGCAGGUUGAUGGAUUGUAAUUCAAUGUCUGUCGUAUAUGUUUACAUCAAUAGUACCUGAAUCAAAUGUAUUUGGAUGGCAGUGAAGUGAUACACAUAACGGGUGAAAAUUUAUGGAUCAUGUCAUCUUCUUUAACAUGAUGAGCACACAGUUGAGCUAGAUUUUAUUAUUUUCUUAUUAUUGCAUAUUUUCUUUAAUUAACAGAAAGGUCCUAUUUUAGUGGCUCGAUGGAAUGGUAGAAUGCUGAUACUAUGUAAAUAAUGGCAUUGUGGGCAAUCUUAUGUGGAAGAAAAAUCUUCUGUAUGAAAUUGCUAAAUCAUCUUGAAUUGCAGUUUCCUGAUCCAAAUAGCCAUAACAGUUAAAUAUCCAUAAAACUACUUACAUUAUCCUAAACUAAACAUCGUCAUGAGCAAAAUAAUCUUAAGUAUGAUGUUAAACCCCAUUUCACCUCACUUAAACUAAACAUAACUGCAUAUGUCUUUUUGCAAAUAAGGGGAUUGUCUAUGCAUUGGUGAUAUGCUUCAUUCAGAACUGCUUUAUAGACGGUGUAUAUUAUCUAGCAUCAAGGUUUAUAUAGGGGAUAAGCUUUUCAGACAGCAAUAUACAGUAAUAUAAUAUUCAAGUUUGCUACUGCAACUACUCAACAGUUCAGCUACAGACCCUUCAGCAAUAUUUUCAUGUUUAUAUUUUCAUAUUUCCAUAAUAAAUUAGUGUAUUCCUGCCAUUCUCACUUCUAAAUAUCCCACCUGACAAUCAUUUUUAUUGUGCCUUAUGUGAAGAUGAAGGAAGUCAAUACUUCUUAUUUUACUUAUUGAAAAACAUUAUGUGUGCAGUCUUACCUUCAUGCUUCUUGUAAAUAACAUCCAUACAGGUGAUAUAGACAGGUGCCCUUAAUUGUAGGAAUUCACAUGUCUCUGGUCUCACUUUUUUAAACAUUUUGCUUAAGGUGUUAUCAUGGUCUAAUGAUGUAUUUUGCACAUACCAGUACAAUGGAGUUGUAUUAAUGUCACUCAUUAAUCACAAUAUAUAUACUGGACAAAAAUAUUUAGGGAUAUAUGUAAAUUUUGAGAUUAUGAAUAAUGAUCUAUUUAUUCAUUGACACACUGACAAAAUAUCAAUCAUAAAAAUACAAAUAUCUCUAAUUUAUUUUGUCCAGUAUAUGUUCCUGUUUCCACCUCAUUGAUACCAGGGCGGUGGGAAAGCCUAGUGGUUAAAGCGUUGGCUCAUGAUGCUGAGGGCCUGGGUUUGGUUCCCCACAUGGGUACGAUGUGUGAAGCUCAUUUCUGG